AUAUUUCGGAACUGAGUCUAGUUCUUUCGAUAUCAAUGCAAUCUAGUUAUUGUGAUUUUUGAAAAAAAAAUCAUUGAAAAUCAUUGAAAAAAAUCAUGAUUACUAGAUUGCAUUGAUAUCGAAGGAACUAGACUCAGUUCUGAAAUAU